rnacentral:rRNA from 1 species
UACGUAGGGCGCAAGCGUUGUCCGGAAUUAUUGGGCGUCAAGAGCUCGUAGGCGGCCUGUUGCGUCCGCUGUGAAAUCCCGGGGCUUAACCCCGGGCGUGCAGUGGAUACGGGCAGGCUGGAGGCAGGCAGGGGAGAACGGAAUUCCCGGUGUAGCGGUGAAAUGCGCAGAUAUCGGGAGGAACACCGGUGGCGAAGGCGGUUCUCUGGGCCUGUACUGACGCUGAGGAGCGAAAGCGUGGGGAGCGAACAGG